rnacentral:RNase_P_RNA from 1 species
UCAGGCGGCCGGGCGACCGCUGGCGGGGUUCCCCGCUGGAGGAAAGUCCGGGCUCCACGGGACAACGGUGCCGGCCAACGGCCGGCGGGCGGAGGGGGCGACCCCGAGGCCCAGGGACAGUGCCACAGAGAACAGACCGCCCCCUCCCCGCGAGGGCGGGGGGCAAGGGUGAAACGGUGGGGUAAGAGCCCACCGCGCUUCCGGCAACGGCGGCGGCACGGCAAACCCCACCGGGAGCAAGGCCGAAUAGGGGCGGCCGGCCUGGGCGGGACAUGGGAAACCAUGGGACGCGCCAGGCGGGGACGGUCCGGUCCCGCCGCCCGGGUUGGCCGCGAGAAGCCGGCGGCGACGCCGGCUCCAGAGGAAUGGUCGCACAGGCCCGCCCGGGGGCAACCUCGGGGGGGCUGGACAGAACCCGGCUUACAGGCCGCCUGACGCC